rnacentral:snRNA from 1 species
GGAUGUGAGGGCAAUCUGGCUGCGACAUUUUGUCACCCCAUUGAUCACCAGGGUUGAUUUGGCUAAUUUGGCUGGCUACGUGGGUGUCCCCUUCCUCCCUUACCACUCCCAUGUGUGUCCCUCCAGAAGCUGUGCGCUCGGUUGAAAAGAACGACCAUCCCCGAUAGAGGAGGACCAGUCUUCGGUCAAGGGUAUACGAGUAGCUGCGCUCCCCUGCUAGAACCUCCAAACAAGCUCUCAUAUAAUUUUUAACUUACACAAAAGUUGCAAGACUAGUACAAGGAACUUCCGUAUACCUUUGUAC